CCUGAAGAAUCUGGUGAACCCAGGGACGUUGAUGUCGGCGGCGUUUUCCGGCUCUCCACAGUAAUCCUGCCUGCCUGACCUGCACCAGUCCAACGGCCCCCACCCUGGCUGAUUUAGUUUUCUUGGCUUUGAUCUUCUACCUGUCUGACCCGGAGAACUUGGACCUUCCUAGCUGUUACUUUGGAUCACCCGGACCUGACCAUCGCCUGUCUGACCAAGAGAGACUUAUCAAUAAAGUCACUGCUUGGUCUCAGUGUCCAUCCGUGCUUGAAGCGUGACAUCGUAUGUGGCAGACUUCGCUCACAACAUAGUGCUUCCAGAGUGCUCCAGGUCUAGGUCUCCAAGCUUUUGCCCACAGAUGUUUAUCCUGACCAGGAAAAAUCACCAGGUAAAUCUUCACUUUCUGAACUCAAAGGUGAAGCUUUGCUGUUGCUACUUUUGUUGAUGGUGAAUAGUGUGUUAUGC